GAUGAAGAACGUAGCAAAAUGCGAUAAGUAAUGUGAAUUGCAGAAUUCAGUGAAUCAUCGAAUCUUUGAACGCACAUUGCGCCCGCCAGUAUUCUGGCGGGCAUGCCUGUUCGAGCGUCAUUUCAACCCUCAAGCCCCCGGGUUUGGUGUUGGGGAUCGGCUCUGCCUUACGGCGGUGCCGCCCCCGAAAUACAUUGGCGGUCUCGCUGCAGCCUCCAUUGCGUAGUAGCUAACACCUCGCAACUGGAACGCGGCGCGGCCAUGCCGUAAAACCCCAACUUCUGAAUGUUGACCUCGGAUCAGGUAGGAAUACCCGCUGAACUUAAGCAUAUCAAUAAGCGGAGGA
rnacentral:misc_RNA from 1 species